rnacentral:rRNA from 1 species
GACGAACGCUGGCGGCGUGCUUAACACAUGCAAGUCGAACGGAAAGGCCCUGCUUGCAGGGUACUCGAGUGGCGAACGGGUGAGUAACACGUGGGUGAUCUGCCCUGCACUUCGGGAUAAGCCUGGGAAACUGGGUCUAAUACCGGCUAGGAGCCAUUUUUAGUGUGAUGGUUGGAAAGUUUUUUCGGUGUAGGAUGAGCUCGCGGCCUAUCAGCUUGUUGGUGGGGUAAUGGCCUACCAAGGCGGCGACGGGUAGCCGGCCUGAGAGGGUGGACGGCCACAUUGGGUCCGAGAGACGGCCCAGACUCCGACGGGAGGCAGCAGUGGGGAAUAUUGCACAAGGGGCGCAAGCCUGAUGCAGCGACGCCGCGUGGGGGAUGACGGCCUUCGGGUUGUAGACUCCUUUCGCUAGGGACGAAGCUUUUUGUGACGGUACCUAGAUAAGAAGCACCGGCUAACUACGUG